rnacentral:rRNA from 1 species
UACGUAGGUCCCGAGCGUUGUCCGGAUUUAUUGGGCGUAAAGGGUGCGUAGGCGGGAUGCCAAGUCAGCGGUAAAAAUGCGGUGCUCAACGCCGUCGAGCCGUUGAAACUGGCGUUCUUGAGUGGGCGAGAAGUAUGCGGAAUGCGUGGUGUAGCGGUGAAAUGCAUAGAUAUCACGCAGAACUCCGAUUGCGAAGGCAGCAUACCGGCGCCCUUCUGACGCUGAGGCACGAAAGCGUGGGUAUCGAACAGG